rnacentral:rRNA from 1 species
GAUGAACGCUGGCGGCGUGCCUAAUACAUGCAAGUAGAACGCUGAAGGAGGAGCUUGCCCUUCUGGAUGAGUUGCGAACGGGUGAGUAACGCGUAGGUAACCUGCCUGGUAGCGGGGGAUAACUAUUGGAAACGAUAGCUAAUACCGCAUGACAACAGUUAUUGCAUGAUAACUGUUUAAAAGGGGCAACUGCUCCACUACCAGAUGGACCUGCGUUGUAUUAGCUAGUUGGUGAGGUAACGGCUCACCAAGGCGACGAUACAUAGCCGACCUGAGAGGGUGAUCGGCCACACUGGGACUGAGACACGGCCCAGACUCCUACGGGAGGCAGCAGUAGGGAAUCUUCGGCAAUGGACGGAAGUCUGACCGAGCAACGCCGCGGGAGUGAAGAAGGUUUUCGGAUCGUAAAGCUCUGUUGUAAGAGAAGAACGAGUGUGAGAGUGGAAAGUUCACACUGUGACGGUAUCUUACCAGAAAGGGACGGCUAACUACGUG